rnacentral:rRNA from 1 species
UACGUAGGUGGCAAGCGUUGUCCGGAUUUACUGGGCGUAAAGGGCGCGUAGGCGGCCAUUCAAGUCGGAGGUGAAAGCCCAGGGCUCAACCCUGGAAUUGCCUUCGAUACUGUUUGGCUAGAGACCGGAAGAGGUAAGUGGAACUGCGAGUGUAGAGGUGAAAUGCGCAGAUAUCAGGAAGAACACCCGUGGCGAAGGCGGCUUUCUGGGCCGAUACUGACGCUGAGGAGCGAAAGCGUGGGGAGCGAACAGG